GACGAACGCUGGCGGCGUGCUUAACACAUGCAAGUCGAACGGAAAGGCCCUGCUUUUGUGGGUUUCUCGAUUGCGGAAGGGGGGUGAAAAACGCGUGUAUCAUCCCCUUAUCUUUGGGGUAUCUCCAGGAAACGGGGGCGAUAACCGCGUAGAAUCUCUUGCUCCGGGUGGGGGAUUGGAAAGUUUCGGCGGUGGGGGCAGGACUAGCGGCUUACCAGCUUGUUGGUGGGGUAGUGGCUUACCAAGCUUUUGACGGGUAGCCGGCCUAGGAGGGUGACCGGCGACAUUGGGACUGAGAUACGGCCCAGACGCCUACGGGAGGCAGCAGUGGGGAAUAUUGCACAGUGGGCGGAAGCCUGAUGCAGCAACGCCGCGUGCGGGAUGACGGCCUUCGGGUUGUAAACCGCUUUCGCCUGUGACGAAGCGUGAGUGACGGUAAUGGGUAAAGAAGCACCGGCUAACUACGUG
rnacentral:rRNA from 1 species